UUUGGCUAUGAAUACCACCCUGAAGGCACCCAAACUUGUAUGACCUCAGAAGCUAAGCAGUCCGGCCUGGUUAGUACUUGGAUUGGAGAAACCCAUCUUAAAAACAAAAACAAACAAGCAACAAUCAAAC
rnacentral:rRNA from 1 species